GUGGAUGAACAAACAAACAAUCACAAAAAUCUGAAUGGAUCAUUUGAAUAGAUCAUACAAAUGAAUCAUUUGGAUGGAGAUGACAAAUGGUGAAACAAACAGCCCCUUAAUCAAUCGGCUGCCUAUACCGAUGAGUCGGUUUAUUUCGAUUAAAUAAGAGCAUAAUCUGUCAAUUAGUGGGCUUUUUAAAGCCCAAUAACAAAUUGACUUGACAGAGUACGUGUGAUCUUAAGUAGCCUAUGUGCGAAGUAGUUUUUUCAUUAUUUUUAUUUUUUUUUGUAUUUUAUUUUUUAUUGGUUUAUAUUUUUGUGGAAAAGUUUUGUAAGGUAGUUUUUUAGUUUAUUUUUACAAAAAUAGCUUUCAAAGAUAAAAAGGACCAAUUUUUUUUUAUUAAAGGCUAAAAAUACAUUUAUAUUCUACGAUUAACUAAUCUAAAUUUAGGAUUUAGAGUUAAUGGGUGGAGUUUUGAGAAUAAACUUUCAAAUUUAAAAAAAAUAAAUAUUAAUAAUUUUAAAAUAAAAAUUAGUUAUUUUGGUCAUCUUCUUUCUUGAGGACUAUUAUUGUGACAAAAACUUAAAAAUAGCAAUUUAAGAUAAUUUUCCUUUUAUGUAUGCAUACAAACACUUAGGGACGAGCGUUCUGAUACCUCCGUUCUGGUUUGGAUCAGAUAUUUCAGAUUUUCGUGGAAAUUUUGGUAUAGACAUAUAAAACCUGUUCAAGUAUUUCUACA
rnacentral:lncRNA from 1 species